ACAGGGCAGCCACUGAAGGAAAGCUGCAUUCUGAGGCUGGAAGAAGGAAGAAUGUCACUGAGUAGACAAAAUAAUGGUCAUCAGGGAAUUGGUAAAGUAAAGAGGAAAAGAAGAAUCAAGACAGUACAAUGCCAUGACAGCUCAAGUGAGAAGACUUUUCAUAAGGAGAGGGGAGACAACCCCAUGAAUGAGCCAUGUAGGUCAAGAAGAAUGAAGGCUGAGAUCAGUGCUGCAGAAAUCACAGGUAGCACAAGGCAAUCUGGAGCUCAGCAGUCCGGAGCUGGUAUAAUGACUCCAUCGUCCUUCUGUCUUGGUCCUUUUGAGUGUGGCUCCAUCAUCCUCAGUGAGUGGCUUCUUCCUCACGGUUCAAGAUAGAUGUCUGAUGUUUAGUCUUAUUCCUGCCAGCAGGAAGGAAGAGCAGAAGAAUGGCAUACCCACCCCCAACCUCCUGUUUUGAGACAGAGUCUCACUUUAUUGUCCAUGCUAGAGUAUAGUGAUCAUAGCUCACUGCAGCUUCAACUUCCUGGGCUUGAGGGAUCCUCCCACCUUAGCCUCCCAAGUAGCUGUGUCUACAGGAGCACACCACCAAGCCCAGCUAAUUUUUGUAUUUUUUGUAGAGACAGGGGUCUCACUGUGUUGCCCAGACUUGUGUCCAGUUACUGAGCUCAAGUGAUCCUCCUGCCUUAGCAUCCCAACGUGCUGGGACUACAGGAAUGAGCCACCACAAGUGGCUUCCUUUCCUUUUAAGGACACAUCUCAGAAGUUGCAUACAUCUGAUUAUAUCCCAUUAGCUAUAACUCAGUCACAUAUAGCACCCAGUAGUAAUAGAAACUGAGGAAUGUGCAUGGUUUAAAAAUCAUGGGUUCUGCUACUAAGGAGGAAGAGAGAACAGAUAUUGAGAGACAACCGGAAGUCUCCAUUUCUAUGGCCCAUUCUAAUGUUUGCCAGACCUUGCUGGUCAGUGAAUUUCUAUUUUCAUUUAAAUUGGUUUUUCAUACUCCAGCAUAUUUGUUCCUAUUGAGUUCUCAAUAAAUAUCAAUAGAUUCCAUUUUUAAUGUAGCAAAAUAUAAGUUCCAAGCUCUGGGAGGUUUCAUAUAUAUUAUAUAUAAUCAAAAAUGUUGGGGGCCAUUUUUAUAUAAAACAUAAUGGUCUCCAACUUUUUUGAUCAUGAACCACAAUCAAUACAGUUUAAUCCCCCAGUAUAUUUACACUUAUUUAUCAAUAUGCUUUAUAAAAUGUACCCCUAUAUUAAUAUAUUAUAUAUAUAACAAAACAUGCACAAAAAAUAAAAUUGAUGAGAUAAGAAGUAAAAAUCAAAGUUCAAAUAUUUUCUUCCUUCACACCAGUUGAUGUUCUUAAGCAAAUGCUGAUCUAAGAGAUGGUGGAUAUCCUGACUUAUGUUCUUUAGUGAUCACAUAUAUCAUUAUUGCAAUUGAGAAUUCAACCAAAACCUAACAAAGAAGGCUAGGACAAAAUGCUAACAAUAUAAGUUGUUAUGUUGUUAUGUCCCACAUGGAAAAGAAAUAAUGAUUGUUGCAACUCCCACAUUUUGGGUCCGACAAACAAAAUUAAGCGUCUCGACAAAAUGUCUGCAUUGAAAAACCCAUUUGGGUUUUUUCACAACAUACUUGACUUUGCUAAAGAGUUCAAUAUCUUCUUGUUUAUGAAGCUUUAAUUUUACUACUAUUGGGUUACGCAGAUGGAAUAAACAAGGAACACCGCUGCUCUGCUCAUUGUGGUCAUGAGUUACAGGGCCCUGGAGAAGCGUGUUGAGGUACUACGGAGUCUUGAUUUCAAUGUGCCAUGUGUGUACUAUGUGUGCUUCUAUAUAACAUGUAUGUAGACUUGGAAGCUUUUCAAACGAAGCUAUAGCUGGACUAGUCAUGUUACAUUUCCCUAAGGCCAAAACCUAAAAUUGACAGCUUUCACUUUGUGUUACAGAAUAAAACCAAGCAAUCAGGACUAGGCAGACCCCUGCCACACAGCUACUUGCUGAUAUCAAUUACUUAGCCUAAUUAUCUUGACAAAGUAUACUAUUCAUUUAAAUCUUUCAUUUUCUGAGACCAUAAUAACAACAGGGACUACAGAAAAAAGUGAUCAUGCCAUCUAGGAAUAACUAAUAUAUAAGAUGUUGAGUUUUGGUCAGAGUCCAGCAUAUAUCCAAGGCCUUAAGACUAAGAAGAUUUGAAAAGUAGUUUAGAGGAAGUUGAAAAUAUAGCUUUAUGAAGAGAGAGCAUUGCCUAAGAGAGAUGGUGGGCUCUAAAAAUGAAAUUCUGACCAUGUUAUGAUAAAUAAAUGUGGAAAUAAGGACAUGAGUAAGACUGCCCAGAAAUCCUCUGAUGAGUUUAGAUUUUGAAAGAAUACAUAUAUAAAGCAAGGAAGGUCAUAUAACCAAGGUCACAAAUUGUGAAAUGUCUAAGAAAAUUGUCAGAAUCGUUAAUGUGCUCAUAAGCCAAAGCUUACAACAGUGACAAAAGCAAUAAAACCAAUCGUUUCAACUCUGUUUAUAUCACUGAUGUGAACAAGAAAGUAAAAUGUACAAUACUGGAGAUGACAGUACAAUGCUAAUAGAUGAGAGAAACAGUUCCAUUGAGGAAAAUUAUUUUCAAAACUUAAACGUCAAGUAUGGGUUAAAGGGGACACAAAUUUCUAGAAAAGGGAGGGCUGCUUAAAUGAAUCCUACCCUCAUUUCCAGAGGAAUCUAAAGGAACUCCUAGGCAUGAUUGUGAGGUAACCAUUGAAUCGAGGACAAACAGAAAUAUGUCGAAAGACAAACAAAACAGAGUCGCUUUGGGUUUACAAAAGGUUGGAGAUUGGGGGUUUGGAAGCAAAUUCUAGAAACAGUAAAUAAAUAAGUAGACAUGAUGUUAUUAUAUUGCAAAAUUCCAGAGAGGACAAUAAAAGAGGUGGCUUGUGGACCUCACAAAACAAAAUGAUGAUCAGUAGGAUCUAGUGAGUAUUCAUAAUGAAAGUCCAUUCCAAAUGGGCUUUCAGUAAAAUAGAUAGAUUAUCUUUUUAGUAAGGUAAAUAGAUGAGCAGAUGUGGGCACAUGCCAUAACCAUGGCACAGAAGAACUGUAAGAUAGCCCCCUUAGAAACUUGAAAUGCAGUUGUUAAAGGUAUGCCAUGCAGGACUUUCUUUCCUUUUUAAAGAAUAAUUUAAUUUUUUAUUAUAUAAGCCAUAUUUUUUAAGUACGUGGACACAGUAUUUCCUUGACUGUAAGAUGUAAUUUAUUGUAAGAUAAUCUAUUAAUUUAAAUAUAGCUUUUUGGGUUGUAAAAAAUAUUUAUAUUAAGUGUAUGAUUUAUCCUCAUUUUGGAAUCACUGAAAUAUAAAAAAAAACAACCUUAGAAUUGAGGAAAUACAUACACAUAUACAAGAACACAUUUACAGAGUUGAAAUCAUACAUUUUGUUCAGUUGGCAUUUUAUUGUAGUUCUUGAUCCCCAUGUCAUAAAAAACUCUAUAAACAUAAUUUCUAGUAAAUCAGUUACAUAUUAUAACUCAUUUAAUUACUACUUUAUUCUGAAAUUUUUUAUUGUUUUUCUUAUAAAAUUGCAAUUUACUUUUCAAAAAUAUUUAUCUGCAUUUCUGAUUAUUUCCUUGGGGUACAUUUCCAGAAGUGGAAUUUUUGAAUGAAACAAUACAUUAUGUUUUAAAGAUUCUUGAUACACACAGUACCAAACUACUUCUCAGAAAGCUUGUACCAAUUCACACUGCCGCUAGCACUUGUUUGAAUGAGGACCCAUCUUACCGGCAUUCAAAAUGUUCUUUCCUUUUCAAAUUCUUUGUUGAUUUAGCAGGGGGAGAAAAAUCUAAUUUUAAUUUGGUUUGAAUUUCAUUAACUACAUAUUUAAUAUUGAAUAUUUUUAUAUGAACAUUAUUGUUUAUGGUUCUUCUGUGAAUUGUCUGUUCUUCCCUUUUAUUCAUUUUUCUAAUGAUAAUUUAUUUUCCUUAUCCAUUGUUAUGUCAUCUUUAUAAUAUAAAAGACAGUAACCAUUUCUGCUUUAUUUGUGGCAAUUUUGGGGUUUUUAAAAAUUAAACUUUUGUUAUUUUGUUUUAAUUCUGUCUGCCCUCUUAUUUAUCUUUUAUUAAAAACUCAUCCUAAGGAGUAUAUGCCUCUUCAUUGGAAAGUUUACAAAAUUUACUUCAAUUCUUAUAUCUGAUAUUUGACCUUACCACUAGCAUUUUGCUUUUUUCCUCGUUUUUGGGUAAUGUCUUGCUGUUUAUUUUGUGGGUGCCUGUGUUUUUCUCUAUGAUUGGUGUUUUGAUUGCUUUUAUCUCCCAUGGUGAUUUGGAACAUAGACAUCUUUUUUUUUAUUUUAUUUUUUGGUGGUUGCUGCUAAGUUUUUCAAAUCAUACGUGAACCUACAUUUCAUAAAAUAUCAAAAUCAUGGAUGAAACAAAACCUUUGAUUUUCAUUGUGUGAGAUUAGGAAUUUGGUAUGUUUUCAUUCCCCUAUCCUUUCCUGCAUUUGAUAUGUGGUCUUCAUUGAC
rnacentral:lncRNA from 10 species